rnacentral:rRNA from 1 species
GACGAACGCUGGCGGCGUGCUUAACACAUGCAAGUCGAACGGAAAGGCCCUGCUCUUGUGGGGUGCUCGAGUGGCGAACGGGUGAGUAACACGUGAGUAACCUGCCCUUGACUUUGGGAUAACUUCAGGAAACUGGGGCUAAUACCGGAUAGGAUCUCCUGCUGCAUGGUGGGGGUUGGAAAGUUUCGGCGGUUGGGGAUGGUCUCGCGGCUUAUCAGCUUGUUGGUGGGGUAGGGGCUUACCAAGGCUUUGACGGGUAGCCGGCCUGAGAGGGUGACCGGCCACAAUGGGACUAAGAGACGGCCCAGACGCCUACGGUAGGCAGCAGUCGGGAGUAUGACACAGUGGGCGGACGCCUGAUGCGGCAACCCCGCGUGCGGGAUGACGGCCUUCGGGUUAUAAACCACUUUCGCCUGUGACGAAGCGUGAGUGACGGUAAUGAGUAAAGAAGCACCGGCUAACUACGUG